GAUGAACGCUGGCGGCGUGCCUAAUACAUGCAAGUCGAGCGAACAGACGAGGAGCUUGCUCCUUUGACGUUAGCGGCGGACGGGUGAGUAACACGUGGGUAACCUACCCAUAAGACUGGGAUAACUUCGGGAAACCGGAGCUAAUACCGGAUAAUAUUUCGAACCGCAUGGUUCGAUAGUGAAAGAUGGCUUUGCUAUCACUUAUAGAUGGACCUGCGCCGUAUUAGCUAGUUGGUAAGGUAACGGCUUACCAAGGCAACGAUACGUAGCCGACCUGAGAGGGUGAUCGGCCACACUGGAACUGAGACACGGUCCAGACUCCUACGGGAGGCAGCAGUAGGGAAUCUUCCGCAAUGGGCGAAAGCCUGACGGAGCAACGCCGCGUGAGUGAUGAAGGUCUUCGGAUCGUAAAACUCUGUUAUUAGGGAAGAACAAACGUGUAAGUAACUGUGCACGUCUUGACGGUACCUAAUCAGAAAGCCACGGCUAACUACGUG
rnacentral:rRNA from 1 species